rnacentral:tRNA from 1 species
GGAUAUAGCUCAGUGGCAGAGCCCCUGCCUGGCAAGCAUGAGGUCCCAAGUUCAAUUCUCGGUACCA